GACGAACGCUGGCGGCGUGCCUAAUACAUGCAAGUCGAGCGGAGCGGCGGACGGGUGAGUAAUGCCUAGGAAUCUGCCUGGUAGUGGGGGAUCACGUCCGGAAACGGGCGCUAAUACCGCAUACUCUCAGAUGAGCCUAGGUCGGAUUAGCUAGUUGGUGGGGUAAAGGCCUACCAAGGCGAAGAUCCGUAACUGGUCUGGGAGGAUGAGAAGUCAAACGGGAACUGAGACAAGGUACAUACUACUACGGGAGGCAACGGUGGGAAAUUUUGGACAAUGGGCGAAAGCCUGUUCCAGCCAAUCCGCGUGUGUGAAGAAGGUCUUCGGAUUGUAAAGCACUUUAAAUUGGGAGGCGUUACCAACAGAAUAAGCACCGGCUAAAUCCGUGCCAGCAGCCGCGGUAAUAC
rnacentral:rRNA from 1 species